rnacentral:rRNA from 1 species
UACGUAGGGUGCAAGCGUUGUCCGGAAUUAUUGGGCGUAAAGAGCUCGUAGGCGGUCUGUCGCGUCUGGUGUGAAAACUUGAGGCUCAACCUUAAGCCUGCAUCGGGUACGGGCAGACUAGAGUACUGUAGGGGAGACUGGAAUUCCUGGUGUAGCGGUGGAAUGCGCAGAUAUCAGGAGGAACACCGAUGGCGAAGGCAGGUCUCUGGGCAGUUACUGACGCUGAGGAGCGAAAGCAUGGGGAG